AUGUUGUAUGAAAGGAGAGAAGGUUAGCACUCCCCUUGACAAGGAUGGAAGAGGCCCUCGGGCGUGUCAACACUCUUACGGUUAAGGCAUGCCACCUUCUUCG
rnacentral:ncRNA from 1 species